GUUCCGCUCGUUCAUCGACACGAACAACGGCAUCGGCUCGAUUGGCAUUCUGCUCGACGGCACCGAGGCGCAAAAAUCGCACUAUCUGCCGAAACUCGCGGUGGGUGAACUGAUCGGCUCGUUCUGUCUGAUGGAGCCGGAUGCGGGAUC
rnacentral:tRNA from 1 species